rnacentral:rRNA from 1 species
UCAGAACGAACGCUGGCGGCGUGGAUAAGACAUGCAAGUCGAGCGAGAUUCGGAUAGCAAUAUUUGAAAUUUUAGCGGCGAAAGGGUGCGUAACACGUGGGUAUUUGCCGUAAAGUUGGGAAUAACUUGCCGAAAGGUAAGCUAAUACCGAAUGUGAUAGCAUUUUUAAAGUUGGGGACCGCAAGGCCUGACGCUUUUUGAUAAGCCCGCGUCCUAUCAGCUUGUUGGUGAGGUAAAAGCUCACCAAGGCUAAGACGGGUAGCUGGUCUGAGAGGACGAUCAGCCACACUGGAACUGAGACACGGUCCAGACACCUACGGGUGGCAGCAGUCGAGAAUCUUUCACAAUGGGGGAAACCCUGAUGCAGCGACGCCGCGUGGGGGAUGAAUGGCUUCGGUCCGUAAACCCCUGUCAUUUGUUAACAAACCUCUUAAAUUAAUAGCUUAAGAGCUGAUGUAGCAGAAGAGGAAGGGACGGCUAACUCCGUGCCAGCAGCCGCGGUAAUACGGAGGUCCCAAGCGUUGUUCGGAUUCACUGGGCGUAAAGGGUGCGUAGGCGGUUAGGUAAGUUCGAUGUGAAAGCUCCGGGCUCAACCCGGAAAUGGCAUUGAAAACUACCUAACUUGAGGGUCGGAAGGGAGACUGGAAUUCCCGGUGUAGCAGUGAAAUGCGUAGAUAUCGGGAGGAACACCAGUGGCGAAGGCGAGUCUCUGGACGACACUGACACUGAGGCACGAAGGCUAGGGGAGCAAACAGGAUUAGAUACCCUGGUAGUCCUAGCAGUAAACGGUGUGCGUUUGCUGUGGGCGGUUCGACCGUCCGUGGCGUAGCUAACGCGUUAAGUGCACCGCCUGGGGAGUACGGUCGCAAGAUUAAAACUCAAAGAAAUUGACGGGGGCCUGCACAAGCGGUGGAGUAUGUGGCUUAAUUCGAUGCAACGCGAAGAACCUUACCUGGCCUUGACAUGAAGAGUAGGAACCUGAAAGGGUAACAGGUAGCAAUACCAGCUUGCACAGGUGCUGCAUGGCUGUCGUCAGCUCGUGUCGUGAGAUGUUGGGUUAAGUCCCGCAACGAGCGCAACCCUUGUGUCCUGUUGCCACUCCUGCGAUGGAGCACUCUGGACAACUGCCUCAUUUAAAUGAGGAGGAAGGUGGGGAUGACGUCAAGUCAGUAUGGCCCUUACGGCCAGGGCUGCACACGUACUACAAUGCCUGGUACAAUGGGAAGCAAGACCGCAAGGUGGAGCAAAUCCCUAAAAACCAGGCCCAGUUCAGAUUGUCGUCUGCAACUCGACGGCAUGAAGCCGGAAUCGCUAGUAAUGGCGCAUCAGUACGGCGCCGUGAAUACGUUCCCAGGCCUUGUACACACCGCCCGUCACAUCAUGAAAGCCGGCUGUACCCGAAGUCGCUGCACUAACCGUAAGGAAGUAGGCGCCGAAGGUAUGGCUGGUGAUUGGGAUG